rnacentral:rRNA from 1 species
AACGAACGCUGGCGGCAUGCCUAACACAUGCAAGUCGAACGCCCCGCAAGGGGAGUGGCGAACGGGUGAGUAACGCGUGGGAACCUACCCAGCAGUUGGGGAUAACCGCGGGAAACUGCGGCUAAUACCGAAUACGUCCUAAGGGAGAAAGAUUUAUCGCUGUUGGAGGGGCCCGCGUCGGAUUAGCUAGUUGGUGAGGUAACGGCUCACCAAGGCGACGAUCCGUAGCUGGUCUGAGAGGAUGAGCAGCCACACUGGGACUUAGACACGGCCCAGACUCCUACGGGAGGCAGCAGUGGGGGAUAUUGGACAAUGGGGGCUACCCUGAUCCAGCAAUGCCGCGUGAGUGAUGAAGGCCUUAGGGUUGUAAAGCUCUUUUACCGGGGACGAUGAUGACGGUACCCGGAGAAUAAGCCCCGGCUAACUUCGUGCCAGCCGCCGCCGGUAA